GGGUGAUUACCCAAGUCCGAUUGAAGGGAGCAGUCUUGAAAACUGUAAGAGCUUCACUACCAUGGGGGGGUUCAAAUCCCUCAUCACCCGCCA
rnacentral:tRNA from 1 species